UCCCACUCCGGCGUCGGCGGCAUAUUAUGCGCUUCCGCCUCCUUCUUCUCGCCGCUUUUCCCUCCGAACAUCGCGCCCGCUUUAUCCGCGACGCUUCGCGCCGUCGACGUCAAUCCAUCCUUCAGCGAACUCAAAUCGAUCCCACGACCCUGCGUCGCCCCAUCUCCUCGCUGCUUCGUCCCGUUCGCCCCAUCGGCCGCGCGUCAGUCUCCAUCGCCUCCCCGUCGCGCGUCUCGCCUCUCUUCGCGCAUCGCGUCGCCAUCCGCGUCGCGAUCCUCGUCGGCGUGGAUGGUGUUACGCAUCCAUCGAUUCGCGUCGCGUCGCGUCGCGUCGCGCCGCCGCGCCGCCGCGCCGUCGUCGCUCGCACCUGGUGCGUCUCGCCCACGCGCUCGUACCCCGCGGUCCAGUUCUUGAGCGCGUCCAUCGUCGUCGCGCUGUGCCGCGCGUCGUCACUCCAUCGCGCGCGCGUCGUCGC
rnacentral:lncRNA from 1 species